ACAGAUGAUGCCUAUCAACUGUUUAAAAAGAUGGUUCUGCUAUCACUCUUGGGAUGGACCUGCGGUGCAUUAGCUAGUUGGGUAGGGGUACGGGCCCUACCAAGGCGAUGAUGCAUAGCCCGAGUUGAGAGACUGAUCGGCCACAUUGGGACUGAGACACGGCCCAAACUCCUACGGGGAGGCAGCAGUAGGGAAAUCUUCCACAAUGGACGCAAGUCUGAUGGAGCAACGCCGCGUGAGUGAAGAAGGGUUUCGGCUCGUAAAGCUCUGUUGUUGGUGAAGAAGGACAGGGGUAGUAACUGACCUUUGUUUGACGGUAAUCAAUUAGAAAGUCACGGCUAACUACGUGCCAGCAGCCGGGUAAU
rnacentral:rRNA from 1 species